CGCCCGUGGUCAGAGGCGGCGCUGGCGUCGCAUCAGCCGCGAAUCCCGAGCGAGAAGCAGCUAGUCUCUCGUUUUGGCCGGCUCAUACUCUGAGUUACAUCUCCCCCUUCCCUCUCCCCCACGAAAAAAGCGCCGGAACAGUGGAGCUGCCAGCAUCAUGCCGACGCUUUUCGAGGCGAAGGCCGAGAAGCUGUUGCUCGCUGCUCAAGAGGAGUGCCGCUUGCUGGCAGCGCAGUUGGAAAAAAGUCGCGCAGCACGAGCUGCGUUCACUUGCGGGCCGCAGGGCAGGACUCGUGCGGCACCAGCGACUGCACCCGCUGCGGCCACAUCUCCACCGAGCCCCCAGAGAGUGUACAGCGCCGCCACUGUGACGGCUACCGUGAAAGGUCCCUCCAUAGGCUCCUCCACCUCCACUUCACCCGAUCGAGCCGGGAGCCCGUCGGCAGCGCCCCCGUCGACCUCCCCCGCGCGCGUUGUCAUCCCCACUGCCGCCACGCAUAAGGAAGGCACGCUGCUUCACUUGGUGCGGGGCAGUGGCCUGUUCGGCGGCGGCAGUCGCUCCUUCGUGCCUCACUACGUUGUUGUGUCCGGUAGCGCUGGGAUCUCGUGGUACGCGUCCGAAGCGGAGUACCGCCAGAACCCCUCUCGGCCACUCGGGCACGCCGACUUCUGGAUCGAGACGUUCAACAGCCGAGGCAGCCGCUUUAAGAAGGCUGCUGUGUGCUGGCCGCUCAUCUUGCCUGACGAUUGCCCAGAGGCGAAGGACGCGAACAAGACGUACUUCGCUGUAGACUACUACACGCCCAACGAGGCGCGGGAGCAAGUUGUGCUGGCGGCGUCGUCGCCGGCAGAACGCGACGAGUGGGUGCAGGUUCUCACCAAGUAUAUUGACCUCUAUUUGGCCCCUCGUGCCGAGUCGGAGGAACUGCAGCACAUCCCGCGCGGCGCAGCAGUCCCGCUGCACCGGUCAGGGGUCAUCGAAGGCGAAGCUCCAGGCGGUAACAUUCUCUGAGAUAACACGCAGCGUGUUUGCGAGAGUGUGCGUGCGUUUGUGUGUUUCAGUGACGCGAG
rnacentral:misc_RNA from 1 species